rnacentral:rRNA from 1 species
UACGUAGGGUGCAAGCGUUGUCCGGAAUUAUUGGGCGUAAAGAGCUUGUAGGCGGUUUGUCGCGUCUGCUGUGAAAUUUCGGGGCUCAACCCCGAACUUGCAGUGGGUACGGGCAGACUAGAGUGUGGUAGGGGAGACUGGAAUUCCUGGUGUAGCGGUGAAAUGCGCAGAUAUCAGGAGGAACACCGGUGGCGAAGGCGGCCUUCUGGGCCGGUUCUGACGCUGAGGAGCGAAAGCGUGGGGAGCAAACAGG